rnacentral:rRNA from 1 species
AAAUACCAAGGCGCUUGAGAGAACUCGGGUGAAGGAACUAGGCAAAAUGGCACCGUAACUUCGGGAGAAGGUGCGCCGGUGAGGGUGAAGCAUUUACUGCGUAAGCCCAUGCCGGUCGAAGAUACCAGGCCGCUGCGACUGUUUAUUAAAAACACAGCACUCUGCAAACACGAAAGUGGACGUAUAGGGUGUGACGCCUCCCCGGUGCCGGAAGGUUAAUUGAUGGGGUUAGCUAACGCGAAGCUCUUGAUCGAAGCCCCGGUAAACGGCGGCCGUAACAAUAACGGUCCUAAGGUAGCGAAAUUCCUUGUCGGGUAAGUUCCGACCUGCACGAAUGGCGUAACGAUGGCGGCGCUGUCUCCACCCGAGACUCAGUGAAAUUGAAAUCGCUGUGAAGAUGCAGUGUAUCCGCGGCUAGACGGAAAGACCCCGUGAACCUUUACUAUAGCUUUGCACUGGACUUUGAAUUUGCUUGUGUAGGAUAGGUGGGAGGCUUUGAAGCGUGGACGCCAGUUCGCGUGGAGCCAACCUUGAAAUACCACCCUGGCAACUUUGAGGUUCUAACUCAGGUCCGUUAUCCGGAUCGAGGACAGUGUAUGGUGGGUAGUUUGACUGGGGCGGUCUCCUCCUAAAGAGUAACGGAGGAGUACGAAGGUGCGCUCAGACCGGUCGGAAAUCGGUCGUAGAGUAUAAAGGCAAAAGCGCGCUUGACUGCGAGACAGACACGUCGAGCAGGUACGAAAGUAGGUCUUAGUGAUCCGGUGGUUCUGUAUGGAAGGGCCAUCGCUCAACGGAUAAAAGGUACUCCGGGGAUAACAGGCUGAUACCGCCCAAGAGUUCAUAUCGACGGCGGUGUUUGGCACCUCGAUGUCGGCUCAUCACAUCCUGGGGCUGAAGCCGGUCCCAAGGGUAUGGCUGUUCGCCAUUUAAAGUGGUACGCGAGCUGGGUUUAGAACGUCGUGAGACAGUUCGGUCCCUAUCUGCCGUGGACGUUUGAGAUUUGAGAGGGGCUGCUCCUAGUACGAGAGGACCGGAGUGGACGAACCUCUGGUGUUCCGGUUGUCACGCCAGUGGCAUUGCCGGGUAGCUAUGUUCGGAAUAGAUAACCGCUGAAAGCAUCUAAGCGGGAAACUAGCCUCAAGAUGAGAUCUCACUGGGACCUUGAGUCCCCUGAAGGGCCGUCGAAGACUACGACGUUGAUAGGUUGGGUGUGUAAGCGCUGUGAGGCGUUGAGCUAACCAAUACUAAUUGCCCGUGAGGCUUGACCAA